rnacentral:lncRNA from 1 species
UUUUUUGAUCCGUCAAAAAACAUGGCCGCCGUUACUUAAAAUAGAACAUAGGGGUCAAAUGCAGUUUUUGGCUUAUAUCUCAAAAACGAAAGCAUUAAGAGCAAAUCUGACAUGAAGUAAAAAUGUUCAUUAGGUCAAUAUCUAUCAGCCCUGAAAUUUUCAGAUGAAUCAAACAUCCAAUUGUUGGGUUGCUGCCACUUAAUUGGUAAUUUUAAGGAAAUUUUGCAGUUUUUUGUCAUUAUCUUGAAUAUUAUUAUAGAUAAAGAUAAACUGUAAACAGCAAAAAAGAUCAGCAAGUAAGAUCUACAAAUAAGUUAAUAUGACCAAAAUUGUCAAUUGACCCCUUAAGGGGUUAUUGUCCUUUAAUGACAAUUUUUCACAAUUUGUUCAUCAUAUUUGCUAACUUUAAAAAAUCUUCUCCUCUGAAACUACUGAAUGGAUUUGGUUAAAACUUAGCAUGGUUGUUCCUUAGAUUUAUCUGCACAAAAUGUGCGCUUAUUUUUGAUCCGUCAAAAAACAUGGCCGCCGUUACUUAAAAUAGAACAUAGGGGUCAAAUGCAGUUUUUGGCUUAUAUCUCCAAAACGAAAGCAUUUAGAGCAAAUCUGACAUGGGGUAAAAAUGUUCAUUAGGUCAAGAUCUAUCAGCCCUGAAAUUUUCAGAUGAAUCAAACAAACCAUUGUUGGGUUGCUGCCACUUAA